UACGUGGACAACCCGGCGCGGCCGACCGCGCGGCCGGCUUGUUGUAAUAACUUUACGUGUUUGUAAAACACAGGAAAACUUCCCGUCAGGAUGUUUUCCCCGUAGGGGUUUUGCGGCCAAGCAAAUGGCUUAAAAGAGAUGUAAAAUGUUUUCGUGGGGCUGUAAUCCUGUGGAAGGCUGUUAUGCUGCCCGGCCGUGCGGCGACUUGGUAAUGGUUAGGGCUGCUGAGGACAGGCCUCAACACCACAGCACAAGGUGGAUCAAGCAAACCGCAUGGCCGGUAGCGUGGAACCGCACUAAGUGCGGUUUAAAGAUGCUUAAUGCAUGUUGAAAAUCACAAACUCCCACAAGAAUGAAUUUAGCCUUAAGAAAACAUGGCGUCAAGGUGCUGGAAAAGACCGUUUGUGCUCGCCAAGGGCAAGACGAAUCAGAACAUUGAACAUGGUACUCGUAGAGAGUACUUUUUGAAAAACAAAAAAGAUCGAUAAUUACUGGAGAAUUAAAUUCUAGUACAAAAAAGAUUGACUUAUAAUUCCUUAAAUAUACCUUCACAUAUUUACUACAAUAAUUAAAUUGUGAACACAUUAUUCAUAAUAGAUUUAAAAAUACAUUGACAGAAUAAAAAAAACUUUGUGUUCAAACAUUUAAAUUACACAUAAUUAUAAUUAUUACAAACAAUUUGAUCUUUGUUCAGAAUUAACUUUUAAAUAUUUAAAUGACAUAUAAAUUAUAAAUACCAAUAUUGAAUAAUGAAAACGUGUGGAAACCAGUUCGCCAUUAAAAAAAGAAAAAUAAUAAUAAUUAAAUAAGUUGAGCAAGUGCCACCAACAUUACAAUGGCACAGAAAUAAUCAGGAGCACAUUGAGAAAACCAUUAAAAUAUUGACAAGAAUAAUCAGGAGCACACAGAGGGAACCAUCAUAUUAUUGACAAGAAUAAUCGGGAGGCCACAGAGAAAACCGUUACAUGUUUGCUUUGAUAUCAUAAAAUAUAAAAAAAAUAUAUAUAAAAAGUACAAUUAAUCGAAAAAUUACCAAAGUAGUAUAGAAAAAGGCAAGCUGGGACUGGGUCCUGGGUCCGGUGCUGGGUGCCGAGCCACAUGUCUGAUUAUGACAUCACGGUGGCCAUCUUGGAUUGUGACAUCAUGGCGGCCAUCUUAGAUGACCGUGACCUUGACCUUUGAACUUGACCUUAACCCCGGCGAUCAUUUUGGAUCCACCAUCUUAGAGCCGCCAUCUUGGAUCCGCCAUCUUGGAUCCACCAUCUUUAAAUCGAGCGCUCCACUCACUCAUGAUGAAAUUUUCGACAUAUUGAUUUUUCUUGGUCCGCUGGAGGCCACCAUCUCGGAUACCGUUACUUUGUUUCUGCUGUUUGUUCCUAGAGAGCGCCAGCAUCACUCUUGAUUUUUUUUUUUUCUGUUCCACUGGAGGCUGUCAUCUUUGAUACCGUUGACUUUGUUUCUGCUGAUUGUUCCUAGAGAGCGCCAGCGUCGCUCUGUCUUACACAUAAUGUCGAUGUUCCAUUACCUAACACAGCUAUUAUGGACCUUAUCGACAUAUUAAAUUUAAUUUUUUAUGCAAAAUACAUUGGAAGCGCUGUGGUUCGAACCAGCGCAGCUCGGACCUCUAUGUUGAAAAACAUACACCUUUAACAGCAUGGCUAUCGAGACACUUUGCCGACUGAGAAUUAAAUAAGGUAUAUAUAAAAAUAACAUGCAUAUUAGGACUUAUAAUUUUGUUUAAUUUGAAGUAAUAAAAUCAUCGAAUGUUCGAGACAGAACCACCAUCUUGUAUUAAGAUGUUACUGUUGCAAUUAAUGUUACAGUCACCAUCUUGAAAAUCUGUAAUUUCAAUGCUUGAAAUUCCAAAAAGAAUACCAAAAAAAUUGCCUACUUCAAAUGUUUAGUUAUUUAAACGAUUUCGGUCAUCGGUUCCAUUUCCGGCGAGAGUAAACCAGUAAUUUUUUAUUAUAUUUAAAAAAUUCUCAAUAAAAAGUAAUAAAAAUGUCUUACAUCACAUGCGACAUUCUGAAUUAUGUCACCACUUGUAUCAAUUUUCGUUACGACCGCCAUCGUGAAAAUCUUUAUUUAUUAUACGAUUUAUUUUAAUGAAAAAAUUAAAAAAUAUAUCAAAAAUUUACUUAUUAUAAUACUGAUUGAUUAGAUCGAAUCCUGUCCUUGGUUCGAAACCGGUAAGAGCAAAAAUUAUAAAAACGACAGAUCCUUCCUCCACAGAAGCAACCUAUCUUUGACCUUAACCUUGAAAUUUGACCUUGACCUUGAACUUUGACCUAGACCUUGAACUCUGACCUUGACCUUGAACUUUGACCUUGACCUUGAAAUUUUGACAUUGACUUUGACGACCAUCAUGGAUCCAACAUUUUAUGUUCAGUACAUGCUACCAGGAGCUACUGCCUGCUAGUGGUCAUUGCCACCAUCUUGUUUACGUCUGCUGGAGGACACCAUAUUGUGUGUGUACUCGCCUUACUAUCAUUGCCAUCAUGCUAGGUUAAUUCUAAUCCGCUAGAGUGAGGUAAUCAUUUAUUAUUACUGAGGUGCCCGCCAUCUUGAAAUUUGGGCAUUAUCUUGGAUUCGUGUAAUUAUUUAGCAAGAAAUUCGGAAAAAAUCCAAAAUUCAUUAAAUAAUUCACUAAUUAAUUUACAUAAUGAAACGAUGGAUUCCUGUAUUAGGUUUGAUUAUUGACCAGUGACAGGUGUACCUAAAUAUUAAAUAUAUUUAAUAUUUUAUUUUCCAUUGCCUUUCGUUUAAGGUGAAAAUUUAUAUUUCGAAAUUUAAUUUAGCAAAGUAAAUGAUAUUGGUACCAAUAAUAAACAUAAACCUAAAAACUACGAACCAAAAUUUUAAAUUUUUCGAAGUUUUUAUCACGCUAAGUAAUAAUGACUUAAAAUGCGCGUACAUAUUAGGUGAUUCAAUAUUUCUUUUCAUUCACUUAUACAGUAGAAUGUGGAAUCUGUUACUUUUGAACGAUGAGCAAUACUUGCAAUGACCACAAGCACAACUUUUAAGCGAGGUGGAGCAGAAAACCGAGUACGUGCUACGACCUAAAAACACCCCGCACGCGGAAGCUGUUAUCUGCGGAGCCGGCCGUAGCAGGCGGCGAGGUAAAAACACUGCUCCGCGGCGCAAACACAAGAACGCCCGCUGAACGGACCGCGCAGAGACGUGGAGGAGCAGUUGGCGGCGCCGGACCCGGACCGGCGAGGCUGCGUCCAAUUAGCGAGGCGCGCCCUUAUCUCGGCGAUAGCGAUCCUCGCUGUGCCGCGGCAGUGGUGCGGGCGAGGCUGAUCGCGCGCAGAUAAGCCCGCGCCGCGCUGAGCCAGCAGCCGAGCCAGCCAGUCAGCGCUCACGGAGCGCGCUUCUUAUUUCAGGCUUUUCAACGAACUUUGGUUCAUAAACUUUCUGAACGAAACUAGUUACGAGCCGAGUACAUAUUUUGUUUUGAAAACAAUAUGGUGACAGGUAAUAAAUUUUCAAUGAAAAAUAAUUUAAUUAUAUUAUUAGGUAUGCUUCACAGAAUUGCAAGCGUUCGCUUGGAUAGUAAUUGUUUAGUUAGAUACUUAGUUUUUUAAGAAAUUCCGCUAAUAAGGAGUAAUCAUCACUGGAGCAACUUUUUAUAUUUUUUUUCUCUCAGACUGAGUUUAUGUGAAUUAAAAUUAAAGGAAAUACAAAAAUUUACCGAUAAUUAUUAUGAAAAAGCGUAAGUUUUAUAAUGUAAAAUAAUCAGUUUAAAAAAUUCACAAAAUAAAUACAAAAUAGAGCAAUUAUUAAUCAAAAAAUGUAAUAAAUUAAUAAUUUAAACAAAUUCAGUUAAAUAAAUUCAAGUUAUAUAUUUUCAUAUAAAUCGGAUUCUUUUGAUGUACUAUCAUGACAAAUACUGUUUUCUGGUUGUCUUCCGAAUCUGCCUCAUCGCUAUUUUUCAAAGAUAUUAAAUCUUUCAAGUCAUGUUUCACCUUCUCAGUUAAUCUUCUAAUGUUUUUCUUUGGAAAUGGGCAAGCGAAUGUGACAACGUGGUCUAAAGAAACAAACACUCUUCGAUAUAAAUCAUCAAUAUUUAAUUUUAUAUUUAUUUUUUUCUGGUGGAAAAUUGUAUUUAGUUACGGAUAUCUUUCCUAUUGGCUUCCUGUGUCUCUUUCUGUGUCCAAGAAGCAAAACAACAUUUUAUUUACAAUCAAUGUACAAUGUUCUCAAAUUUUAUUAACAGUUAGGGUCUUUUUUAAUUUCUCUGCCACAGGAUAGUGUGAACAAUAUGUCUGAAAAACGUUUCAUUAAUUUCUGGUCCAAUCAAGUCGCUUUAGAAGCCAUACUUGGAUCAGCGAAAAACCUCCUAACAGUGUUUCUGUCGCUAGUUGAACCGAAACCUUGUUUUGGGCGAUCUGGUUGGGCGAUCUAAUUUCUUAAGUAGACGUUCUCUUUGUUCUCGCACUUUUUGAAAAUUGUUCUUCUCACAAACUUUUUUUUGUAUCUGAAAUAAAUGUAUUUUAUUUAAUUAUAAAAUAUUACAACAUUAAAAAUAAUAAAGCUAUACAAAUAUUUUUCCUAGUCUAUAAAACAUGGCCAAAACAAAUUCCAAAAAUCGUUUAUAAGCAUGUUGUUGCGUUAUUCCAUACUAUAUAUUAAGGUGGCCUCAUCCGUAGAGUUGUUCCGAUUUCACAAUGGCAAACCUGUUGAUGUUUGCGUACAGAUUGGUCACUUAAGCGUAUUGAUUUCUGUUCAGGAAGAAAAAACUGUCAUAUUUAUCAUUGUCAAUUGCAUUUUGAUGUCGAUUUCCACUCCUCAGACUUGAAAUGAUACCAAAUUUCUUAAUUUUAUUUGUUAUAUUUUGCUCCUCUGAAAUGAUCACCUGUUUUGUCUCCUUUAUAAGUCGAAGCUUUGUAGAACGACAAAGCGGAUGGAACUUGAACGGCUAUUUUUCUAAAUAGCACCAUUUUCUCCCAAACGAUUUAUGGGACAAGUAAUGAAUGAAAUACGCUAUCGUCCCUGGAUUCGUCUUCUUCCCAGCCUGGUAUAUAUUCUGAUUGCUUGAGGAGCCAUCAAACCUCCAUUUACAUAACAAAUUAUAUUUUCCUUGAAAUCUUUUACUGACAGUUUCGACAAUCCUGCCAGCAGUGUAGUUCAAUAAAUCCUAAAGUGGAAUUUCGGGAACAGUACUAUAUUUUGGAUAGGCCAGCUGUUUGGCUUCGAUUAGAUUCUUGUAGUUUAGGUAGAUAGUGCGCCUUUAUUAUUCUUAACUGAUUUUAACAACUAUGUGACCUCUUCGUUAAUUUUGCUUUAACGAGAAGAGCUAAUCCUCUUCUAGAGACAAUUAUUUAAAUUUCUAUAUUUUUAUUUUUAUUUUGCGGUAUAAACUCUUAGAAGAACCAGGAAUUUCGCUAGAGUAUAGCUUUACUAAAGCUGAUCCAGCACGAUUGCCCUUCUUUGUAGUCAGCAGGAAAGAGCUCUCGCUUCUUGAGGAGUUGUAAAUCAGUCGGCUUCACCCUUUAUAAUUUUCUUUUUUGUUCACUUUUUAGCUUCUUCGAACACGUUUUUGGACAACCACAUUUCAAUAACCGUAGAUGAAGAAUUCUAGUCUCUUGUCUCACUGACGGUAGAUAUUAUUUAUUCAUCAUUCAACCAUGAUUUAUAUAUUAUUAAAAUCUUGUCUUUGAAAUAUAAGGCAUUUUCCAUUUACUUAUGUUCAAGUAAAAAAUGACAUAACCCUUCUUGUAGGCAUGUUUCAGUUCUUAAAAGAAAUUGAAAAUUUAUUGCUUAUUCUAUUCUAGAGGAAAUUUACAUAACACACAUGUUUAUUAUGAAUUGUCUAGGUAAAUACAUACUUUAUUGACUACCCCUACUCAGUUGAAUCAUUGACAGGUCAGUGUCAAUAUUAAACGUAAAUAUAUUAGUGAUCAUAAAAUAUAUAUGUAAACGGAAAAUUAAAACUUACCGAAAAUGAUACAGUCCACAAGUUUACACACAGCCACUUCACUCUUUCACUACUUAACGAGAACUGAACACUGGAAAUACAAAAACUGCAGAAUUCACCAAGAUUUUCCCAAAGGCGAUCCCCAGGAGGAGGAUAAGGGUUAAAUGGAGGUAAAGGAAGUAUGCCCUCUAGCAUCAGGUAUGUGAGUUCUGAGAUUUUUACAGAAAUGUCCCAUUCAUUACUUUGGCUGUAGGUGGCUGCUGACAAAUAAGGCACAGAUUGUUACCUACAUAUAUAAAUAUAUAUAUACACGCAUAAUAUAAAUAUGUAUAUCUAUAUAUAAACAAUUACCUGGCAACAAUAUCUUUGCAUGAUAAGUUAUUAAUUAAUUUAAAAUCCUUCUCAGUUUUUAAAGCUUUGAGAAUAAAUCUUAUUCAUUUCAAUAGGUAUUGUUACGCAGCAUUUCUUGGGGUACCAUUAUAUAGGGCAUUCUAUUAACUUUUUAAGGUAGUUGAAAUCGUAUUAGUAAAAAAUAUCAUCGCAUUUAAAAUAAAACGUGUAUGUAUUUUGCGCACAUGUACAUCAAAACAAUUUAGUUAUAAAUUACAAUGUUUGAAAAAUCACAAAAGGUUCAAUGCAUCAAUCAAAUUAAAAUCUAAAUUUACCAACAGGUAGUAGACAUACUUUAGACGUAUACAUGAAAUAAUCGAUUAAAAAAAGGUAUUUCUCAUUUUUUGCAGAAUGAUUGCUGGAUCGGUACACCUGUGAGGUGUCUCUUCCUGACACACGUGACAUCCAACAACUUGUAAAAAAGCUAACUUGUAUGUCGGGUGAAAUAAAACCAAUGAAUGUUUUUCAUGCCAUUCUUAAAUUGAUAAUUAAGUGGUGUUUUUACGUUAACCACUUUUAUUAAGCAUGCAAGUUAUAACUUAUUUUGAAUAUAAAAAAAUACAAUUUGGACAUUUUCCACCACUAUCUUCAAGAAAUGUUUAUUGUAGAAGUGUUAAUAAACGCUUGUUUGUCCUUCCAUUUACAUGAAUGGGAUGUAAUGUUUCACUUUAAUCUUAUUACAUCUAACAUCUCUAAGAAACUUAAUUUCCAAGGGACUUUAGCUCCAAAAUUAGUGAAUUUACAUUUUUCCUCAUAUGUAAUUUGGCUGAUAUUUUAAAUUUUCAUAUUUUUUACGUUUGGUCAAUAUUAUUUUUACAAAAAAAGCGCAGUACAAAUACACGAAAGAGUAGCGGGCAUUGGCUUGCCGGGGCCCAGAGCCUAUACAGUUAUGUAGCCCUACUAUUUGGGGAAGUGAGAGAAUGUUGCAUUGAAUUAUUGUAGAAAAAAUUUAAUUUACAACCUAACUCCUCCCCCUUUAGUAGUAUACAAAAGUCUUUCCUGCGCCAGGUGUCAUGCGGUGGAGCCUGGAGACGGUCCGCCAUUUUGGAUUGUGACGUCACAGCAGCCAUAUUGGAUGGCCUUGACCUUGAUCUUCGACGUUUACCUUGAACAUUGACCUACAAAAUUUGUCAAACUUUGCCCAAAUUUUCCAAAUUUCUCCAAAACUCGCCAAAAAUUUCCAGUUUUUAGAAAACAAAUCCGGAAAAAAAUCUUUAAAAAUUUGUUUAUUCGAAAAUUAGGGUUCCGAAAACCUCAAAAUACAUUUUCCAUAGAAAGAACACAAAUUCCUAAAAACGGCUUAAGCAUCCAUGUCUACAGCCUACGAUAAGACGUUUCUAGAAAUUAGGAUGCCAUGACUUCUAUCUUGAAUUAUGACGUCACCAUUGCAAUUUACGUUACGGCCGCCAUUUUAAAAAUAUUAAUUAAUUCUCCGAUUAUAAUAAAAAAUUUCUUAAAUUUCAAUAAAAAAAAAUUAUCACACAUAGUUCAAAAAAUUCCACUUGAUUUGUUUUGGAGCAUAUAUUAAUUUUAAGUAAAAUUUUAUAGAAACAUUUUUGAAGUAAAUAUAUUUAAUGUUCAAUAAAUUUGAAUUUAGGCUAAAUGUGCCAAAUAUUUUAUUUAAAAAACUUUAAAAGAAACCUUCAGUAGCUUUUAAUUUACGCCAAAAACAAACAUGCAAAAUAGUAAAAAAAAAUUUUUUAAAUAAUUUAUUUCUGAUUUUGUUUAAAUGUAUUAUAAUAUUCUAGAUCUGUUUUUCAUUAUUUCAUGCAGUUUUGUAAUUAGUAUAUGUUGUUGUAACCCUUCUUCCUCCUUAAUUGGAAGAGGGGUUGCGUCCCCGACUCACUCUGGGCGCGAAGGGAAAAAACAAAUAUUAAAACCAGGCAUAAAAAGCUAAACAAUAUAAAUUCCCCACACCACUGCCCAGGGGCCAGGCCAAAAACUUCAAAGGAUAUAAUAGCAGAGUAACCAUUAAACAAACAAGAGGCAAGACUUUGGACGUAUGUUAUUAAAAAAUAGAAAUUUGCAAAAAUAGUAUUUACUAUACAUAACCAUACAAGCUUAGUUACAAAAGCUGACGCUAAUAAUGGCAGCAUCUUAUCCCCAUUUGCGAUACUAACAAUAACCUUUAAAACAUCAUAAAAAUAUAAAUACUGAUAACAACAAGUAUAAAAAUAUAUAAGGGCGUGAGGCGUGGCCACUAUAAAAUAUCAAAAUUUACUGACUGCCCUAAUACCAAAAAUCAAACAAGACAAUCAAUACAAAUAUAUAAAAAUUCUACAAUAAUAAAACUGAAGUACAAAAAAUUUAUUUAAAUAAAGUUCUUAAACUCUCAAUCAACAGUUUAGUCUUUCAUUCUGAUGUUCGUUGCUAAAGACUUGCCAAAAAAACAAAGUUAAUAUCCUAGGCGUGCGCUGGCUUCCUGACCUUCCUCACCAACUCCAGAGUCUAAUGCCACGCCGGGCCAUAGGUACGAAUUCACAAAGGCGUGAACGAUGAUCAAAAAAAAAAUUAUCUUAUUUUUAAGGGAAAUGUAGUAAAAACUCUUCACGUAACAUAACUAUGUUACCACAGAAGUAUUUAUCAUCUGCUUCAAACAAAAUCUUACUUCUUUAUUAACUUGCCAAUGAUUUCAUAAAAACGUAGAAUGCCCGCACCAACCAACAUCAGGCUGCGCAUGUAGUCCAAUACAGAUCGCAUACUUUUAAUAAUACUGCACAAACUGAUUAUAUUAGCUAAAGCCAACUUUAAGUAUGCAAAUUCCGAAGACAAAGUCUCAAAAACAAAUUGCAAAAAGUUCGUUUCUUCCAAACUUAUACUUUUAUCACAACUACAGGCAAACGGGCGACCUUUUUUAAAAAAUCCCACCCUGGAACAACGUGUGAAACGAAUGGGCCUCUUCACCAAACAGGCUAAUAAAAGUUCCGUCCAAAUAAAAUUUAGUAUGGGAAAAUACACAGUUCACUAGGUUUGCCAAAAACCAGUGCAGCACCACGAGGGUAAAAAUCAAAAUUGCGGCCUCUCUUUACCUUGAUAAGUGCAGUAUCACAGGGCAAACCAUUGCCCUGUCACCCAGCGUGGAGCCUCCACCCCCAUACUCUUCGUCGCCCGUUGCCGUCCGGCACACCAGUCCGCGCCGUCACAUGGCUCUGUCCUCGACGGUCGCUCGCCACACACUUCGCGCGGCCCCAGCUGAUUUUUCACUCCCGGCAAGCCGAAAGUCUGACGUCAUCAGCCAACCGCCGGGCGCUCGCCAAGUGGUAUUUACGUAAAACACAAUCGAUGUUCUUAAACUCAUAAUCGAUAGCUACCAAACGGCGUAUAACUAAUUAACAGAAACAAAUAUAAUUAAAAAAAAUUUACAGAUAAAUUUACAUUAAUUAAAAAAAGGCGUAAAAAUACGUGAAAUAAAAAACCAUAUAAAACUAGAGACCAGCAACAAAAAUAAAUUACAAGUAAAAAUGUGGCCCUGCCGGCCACAACCUCCGCCUUGAACAAAAAAAAAUUUAAACAGCAAAGAAAAUCUUAAAAAUACUAAAGCGUCAAAAAAAAAACCCUUGGACUUGGAGAAAAAGUGUUCACAAAAACUUAUAAUCCAACAAACCAGCCCAAACUCAAACAAACAAACCAGCAACAAGGAAAACUAGCCUCCAAAGUCCCAGCCAAAAAUUUCAAUGCUCAAAAAAAAAAACAAGAGAAGGAUUUUCCGACAAGAAACGGAAAAGACAAGCUAAACAUCACAAACCCAACAAACGGGAUCUAAGAAUGCCAAAACAAACAAACAAGCUCCAAGGUCAAAUCCGAAACGUAUUAGACAAAACCUUCUCUUUCAAAAAUUAUCAAAAACUAAAGAUCAAAAAAAAAAAAAAAACAAAGUCUGACAACCCGGAGGUUGCAAACUAAAGCAAAAAACUAUAAAAACUAUAACCUCACAGGAAAAAAAUCAAAAUCAUCACUGGUAAUCUAAAAGACCACUAAAAUUCCUGGUGCUGAUCCUGCUCCCGCUUCUUUUUAAAGCAAAAUUUUUCUGAAUGACCAUUUUUGCCACAAAAACCACAAACAAAUUUAUUUACCUCCGAAACCGAGCAAUCCUUAGCAAAAUGCCCUACCUUAUUACACUUAAAACAAGUCUUAUCACUUUUUUUAUUACCCGGCGUUUUAAAACAAACCGGUUUAAAAUUGAUUUUGCCUUUACACUUAUCGAAUUCACUUUUAGCGUAAAAAAAUAUUAUCAACCUGGAUAGCCCAAGUGUUGAGUUCCUCCACACUAUUAGGUCUGCCAAUAAAUGCGCAUACGUGUCUGAUGGCAGGAUUUAGAUUUUCCAAAAUAAUAGCUACAAAACGGUGAUCAUCUAACUGCAGACCAAAUACAUUAACGUGAUUUCUAAUAUCCUGUAUAAAUUCUAAGGUACUUUCAUUUUCCCGUUGAAAAUGGAAAAUCAAUUCCUUAAUUAGAUCGCCCUUCACCCUCUUAGGGCACAAAUAUUCCCACAAAUUCUCUUUCACUACCGACCAUCCAACAGACUUAUAUAUACCUGACGUAAUCACGUCUCUAGCGAUCCCGCUACAUUUAGUCGAAAUACACCUUAACAAUUCUUGCUCGUUUUGUAAACAACAAUUAGUUUUCAAACUAUCUACCCCCAAGCAAAACUUUAUUAAAUCUCUUGGCCCACCGGAGCAUAAAGAUGGCAACCUUUCCAGUUCCUUAAAAAGUAAUUUACUUUGCAUAGCAGUAUUCAAUGAAUUUACUUGGCUGAUCUCCGAAUUCUCCACAUUUUCCUCAACAGGUUUUUUCCUCCCUUCUUUAAUGUGGGUACUUAAUUUCCUGCGUAAGGUAUCAAUGUCAUCCUCCCGACCACUCUCUACUCCCGCUGCUUGCAAAUUAGCGUAAACCUGUUCUUUGGGAAGUUUAUAAAUCCAAGAAACUGCCAUUAUUAAAAAAAUCAAAGAAGUCAGCAAAAUCGCAAAAGUCCAAAGUUUCUGCCAAGCAGAGUGGCGCAGGUUGUAACCCUUCUUCCUCCUUAAUUGGAAGAGGGGUUGCGUCCCCGACUCACUCUGGGCGCGAAGGAAAAAAACAAAUAUUAAAACCAGGCAUAAAAAGCUAAACAAUAUAAAUUCCCCACACCACUGCCCAGGGGUCAGGCCAAAAACUUCAAAGGAUAUAAUAGCAGAGUAACCAUUAAACAAACAAGAGGCAAGACUUUGGACGUAUGUUAUUAAAAAAUAGAAAUUUGCAAAAAUAGUAUUUACUAUACAUAACCAUACAAGCUUAGUUACAAAAGCUGACGCUAAUAAUGGCAGCAUCUUAUCCCCAUUUGCGAUACUAACAAUAACCUUUAAAACAUCAUAAAAAUAUAAAUACUGAUAACAACAAGUAUAAAAAUAUAUAAGGGCGUGAGGCAUGGCCACUAUAAAAUAUCAAAAUUUACUGACUGCCCUAAUACCAAAAAUCAAACAAGACAAUCAAUACAAAUAUAUAAAAA